rnacentral:rRNA from 1 species
ACUCCUACGGGAGGCAGCAGUGGGGAAUAUUGCACAAUGGGCGCAAGCCUGAUGCAGCAACGCCGUGUGAGUGAAGAAGGUUUUCGGAUCGUAAAACUCUGUCCUAAGGGAAGAAACAAAUGACGGUACCUUAGGAGGAAGCCCCGGCUAACUACGUGCCAGCAGCCGCGGUAAUACGUAGGGGGCAAGCGUUAUCCGGAAUCACUGGGCGUAAAGGGUGCGUAGGCGGCUUAGCAAGCCAGGGGUGAAAGGCAUUGGCUCAACCAAUGUAAGCCUUUGGAACUGUUAAGCUUGAGUGCAGGAGAGGUAAGUGGAAUUCCUAGUGUAGAGGUGAAAUUCGUAGAUAUUAGGAGGAACACCAGUGGCGAAGGCGACUUACUGGACUGUAACUGACGCUGAUGACACGAAAGCGUGGGUAGCGAACAGGAUUAGAUACCCUGGUAGCACAGAG